rnacentral:lncRNA from 1 species
AAUGUGAGAGGCUAUGAAUAUAUAGGGAUAGGAAGUAUCUUUAUCUGCUCAAUUUUGCUGUGAACCUAAAACUGCUCUAAAAAAUAAAGUCUAUAAAAAAAUACUCUGGGCUGGAGAAAGGAGGAGAAGAAAAUGAUAAACAUUGUAAGGUCUCCCCGAAAUAUGGCCCUAUUCCUUCAUCCCUAGGGAAACAAUCUCUAGGGAAUUUCAGAAUCAGAGAAAAGAUGCCCAGUUCCUGCUCCCAUUGAAGCCCAGGAAGACAACAAAGUUCCCUUCAUUCUAGGGAGAAAACAUGUUAUCUUUAGUCAAAGAUGUCUGAGCUCUUCUGGGUUCCCUAUAGCCACAGGGUGGUACAAGAGGGCACUUUUCUUACAUCCCUUAGAGACAACAAACAGUCCUAAAGUCGUCUUGCCAGCACACAAAAAGGAGUGAUAUCACCAGACAAAAAUGAGAUGUCAUGUGUCUCAGAUGUUUGGAGUGGACACAAAUAUCACUGAGAAUAUGGAGAGAUGAUGACAAAGGACCAGACGUCACAGUCCUCUGAAG